rnacentral:rRNA from 1 species
UACGGAGGUUGCAAGCGUUGUUCGGAAUGACUGGGCGUAAAGGGAGCGCAGGCGGCCAAGUCAGUCUGAAGUGAAAGCCCGGGGCUUAACCCCGGAAUAGCUUUGGAUACUGCCUGGCUUGAGUGUGCGAUAGGAAAGCGGAAUUCCAGGUGUAGCGGUGAAAUGCGUAGAUAUCUAGAGGAACACCGGUGGCGAAAGACGGCUUCUGGCGGCAUAACUGACGCUGAGGCUCGAAAGCGUGGGGAGGCAAACAGGAUUAGAUACCCU